CCCUGGUUAGCUCAGUUGGUAGAGCGUUCCACCUGCAAUGGAUAGGUCCCGGGUUCGAUACUCGGACCAGGCG
rnacentral:tRNA from 1 species